rnacentral:lncRNA from 1 species
UUCCUGAAUUCUAUCAAGCCAAGCUUCCCUGACUCCCACUUCCUCCUCCCAGGAAGAAAUGGUUUUCUUAAAGGGUUUCACCUAGAACUGCGCAUAAAACUAUUGCUCUAUUAAUACAGAAAAAGAGAGCUUUUAUUAGAUCUGAAACUAUAGUCUACAAAACUAUGCACAGCAGCCUGUGAUUUAUUUUUACUAUUUCAAAGAGCCUAAGAGAAAUUUACUAUUUCUCAUAAUGAGGAUGAAUGGAGUAACUAAACUGUUAAGUUUAUUUUAAAUAAGAUUUUUUNCUUUUUGUGCCUGCACCCAGGGCACAUGGAGGUUCCCAGGCUAGGGGUCGAAUCGGAGCUGUAGCCACUGGCCUACGCCAGAGCCACAGCAACGCGGGAUCUGAGCCUCAUCUGAAACCUACACCACAGUUUACGGCAACGCCGGUUCCUUAACUCACUGAACAGGGCCAGGGAUCAAACCUGCAUCCUCAUGGAUACUAGGCAGAUUUCGUUUCUGCUGAGCCAAGACAGGAACUCCAGAAAUCAAAUUAUCUUGAUUGCAUUAUAUUAUCUCAGAUUUUUGAUCAUAUGAAGUUCUAAAUAUUUUCAUUAUUAAAAACCAGGAAAAUUAACCAUUGAUUUAUACAAGCAUUUUAGUGUUAAGAAGCUUUCAAAAUAUGUGAUGCUUUGGUUAAAAAACAACUAGAGUAGUAACGAGAUCAAAAGAUUGGUAACUGUUCUCCAUGUCUAUUAAAAUAGUCGAUUAAAUGUUAGUUCUUUUAUAAGACAAGAUUCUUGGAAUCGGAAGAACUGGAGUGCAUCCAGGCUAUGCUGGUUGAUUGUUUUGAGAGCUUGAAUAAAUUAUAUAACCUCACUGAAUAUCGGUUACUGUCUUUUUAAAUGAGGAGAAUGUCAGUAUUUGCUUAUUUUUGAUUUGGUCGCACCUUACCUAAUUCCAUGAAAGAUCUUAUAUAUAAUAUCAUAUAAGAGAAAGAUUACAUUAUAAGUGGAAACUACUCAAAAAUUGGUUUUACCCUAGGGAAUAUUUUUAUUGCUCUCAAGGUUAUUCUAGUCCCAGAAAAAAUACUUUUGAAAAAAAUUAUGAUUUGUUACUAGCACAUGGACAGUAUCUGUGAUUAUCACCAGGUUUGUGGCUUGUUAGGAGGCUUUCUGCAUCCAUUGGCACUUCUUAAGGAAAUAUAGGUUAGACUAGAAAACAAUGAGAGAGGUUUACAAUGUUAUUUUCAUGUUUUAUGAUAAAAAUUAUAAAUAAAUGAAAGCAAAAACAAACAAACAAAUAAAACCCAUGUCCUUUGCAAGGUUAAGCAAUCUUGGAUUAACCGUGGAUUACCCUAGCAAUUUUUAUUUAUCUAGACCCAGGAACAGCAAACUCUGGACCUUGGGCAAAAAUCUGACCAAUGCCUAGAUUUGUUAAGUCCCAGAUCUAAGAAUGGUUUUUAUGUUUUUAACGGUUGGAAACAAUCAAAAGUACAAUAAAAUUGGGAUACAUAUGAAAAUUAUAAGAGAUUCAAAUUUUAGCAACCAUAAAUAAAUUAUUACUGGAACACAGCCUCAUUUAUAUAUGUGUCCCCAGUGGCAGUGAGUAAUUGUGACAGAGACUAGCUCUCAAAGCUUAAAAUAUAUAUAUACUUCCCAGCACUUUACCAAGAUGUUUGCCCUGGUCUACAUGGCACAGAAUUGAACCCUUUCCACUAAAGACUUUCUUACUGUUUAUUUUUGAGUCAUAAAGUAAAUACGACUUUGGAGGUGAAAACUUACACUUAAUGCAUGUGAAAUCUUUUUAAUCAUUAUGAUGGGACCUUUUCUUUUCAGACAUUUAAUAUGUGGAAGCACUUAACUAGAAAUUAGAAAGUUUUAGACAAAUGGUAUAAAAGAAAUAGUUAUUGAAAUGUUACUGAAAUAAAUUUUGACUUAAAAUGGAUUUAAGUGACUGAUACUCUAAAAUUAAAAAAAAUAUUUUUAAUAUUUUAAGUUAUAUAUUUAAGUGUGUAUAUAUGUGGAUUAUAUACAUACACACACACAUAUAUAUAUUUUACAUAUAUACAUAAACACAUUUUUGUCCCCCUACAUACGCAAAGAAUACAUACAUAAGAACACAGGCAGGACACAUUAAAUACUAGCUCCAGCCUCUGGUAUUAAUUACAGUGCUAGUGCCUGAAUCUCUACUCUGCUCCCUUGUGGCUACUUGGGGAAUUACAUUGUCCUUGCCUUAGUUUCUUCAUUCUUGAAAUGUGGAGGAUAAUAAUUAUAAUAAUAAACACCUACUUCAGAGAGUUGAUCUAGAGAAUUAAAUAAGGUACACAGAAAGCACAUAGGGCAGAGAGCCCAUAUUAAGCACACAGAGCACAUAUUAAGCCCUGAACAAUUUUAGUUAACAAUGAUUCUUCUGGUCGUUGUUGUGUUUUCUUUUCCCCACCAUCAGAAGGGUCUACAAAUACAAGAAAACACCUUCAGGGACAUGUCAUCUGUAUGGUGAGUCCAGGAAAGAAAUGAGUCCAUUAACCUGAAUAUUUACUCAGUAAAAAUAUUUAUGUGUGUCAUGAAUGCUACGGAUGGUGUGGAAAGGACAACAGCUGCUAAGAUUUUCCCCUAUCAUCUUUAGCAAUGUUGAUUGCCCUGAAAAUGUCUGCUAGUUAAUCGAAGGAAACUUUUGUAACAAGGAAGGAGAAAAGAACUAUGGACAUUUUCCAUGUUCUUUUAGGAGUUAUGGCAAUGAAAAAGUUUUACCUGUUCUUAGAACAAGAUUUGUUUUUAUCAUUCAUCUAAAAGUGCGGAGCAUAUAAUAGUAAAUUAUAAAAAUUGUUAUUAGUAAGGUUUAGAAAAGUAUGAGGACAUACUAAUAACCAAAGCCCUACAGAAUACAAAAAUAAUUUUUAAAAGUCAUAAAAUUUUGAAAAUUUGAAAAAAAAUGUUUGCAGAAAUAUAUGGGGGAGGAGAUGCUUUUUGGUGUUUUAUUUCAUUUAUUCUGCUUUUGCGUAUUUCACUAUCUAGUGCUUCCAUGUAUGCAUGUAAUGUUGCAUCUAUCACAUUUCUCCUGCUGGAUUAGAUUUUUGGCCAAUGAUGAAUAAUAAAAUAUGACUAAGUUGUAAAUGUAUUAGAUGACGAGCCAUUAUGAAGCUUGAUUUAUAAAACUCUUCAAUAUAUAGCUGAAUGAUUAUAGCAAUUGUUUAUAGACAAUAUUGUAAUGACUAUUUAGGGUAGAACUUGUCUUUGAAUGAUGAGUUUCCUAUUCUUGAUGAGCCUUCAUUACUAGUGUAUCUUUUCCCAAAAUGUGUCUCUGCUGCAGUGUUGCUACUAACCUAUACAGAAGCAAAUAAACAGAGGAGGCUUGAAAUUGCUUUCCUUGCAAAUGGUUACUUGUAAGGCUAUCACUUGGCAGUUGCCCAUGAACCUGACUGGAAAACAGCUCCCUACACUAAUGUAAAACUUUCUCUAAAUGAUAAGAGCAGUAUACUGUGCCUAAACUGUUUGUGCAAACAGCAUGCUUUGUAUUGAACACCUGCUUUUCUUCUGGGGGACUGAAUCUGUUAUUUGCUGGAUAGAAGGUGCCUACUAACCCAGCAUAAAUAUCUUUGACUUCUAGUCUCAGGCCAGCUUCCCUAGUAGAUGACUUUUCUCUUGUGUUGCCACAAUACGCUGCUGGAGGACUUAAGUGCCUUCUGUGUGAUUCCAGUAGGAGAAGAUUCUUGGAAGCCGCCACCCAGUGUUCUCUGGAUUUCACCUUACCUGUGUUUUCUCUCUGUUGAUUUUCUUUGGACUCUUUUGCAGCAUGCUGAAAAUCUGGUGGGGACGAAUCCCAGAAGAGUUGUUUUAUAAUUCUAGAUAAACUUUGAAAUUGAGUUUACGUUUAUCACCACAGAUUGGGAGCACAUGAUGAAAAUUUCUUGAAGGAAAUACAAAAGGUGUUAACAGUCACUGAAUAUUCUGAGCUAUUCAGAAAUGCUGCAGUGAUGUAUUUAAUAGUUGUAUUAUCUAAGUUUAAUGUUAGGUCUGUGUGAGCUUAAGGCCGGUGCACCAACCGUUAUGCUGUACAAAUUCUCCUUAAAAAAUCAGAGAGAAGAGUUGCCUUCUGUUUUGUUCUAAAUAUGUUUGUGAUAAGUGUUUAUGGAUUUAAGUGCUGCCGAGCAUAAUGACAACUCAGUGUGCAGAAAGGUCAUGCCCAAGAGAACUGUACAGACAUAAGGCAGCUGAUAAGUAUGGCCCAGAGCAUUUGCAUAAAUUUUUGGUCACCUCCUCAUAUGGGUCACUGUCACGCAUUUUCCAACUUGACAGGUUACAUAUUGGGUGGUUGCCAAAUGAUUAGAACACAGCUAUCCUGGAUUUAUAAGGGAAGUGCUCAAAAUGGGAGAGGGAGGUCUCUCCCUUCAGCCUUUGUUCCUUUAGACAUUUGCAUCUAAAACUUCUGCAUUUUCCUUCAUGACUUUCGACCCCACAAUUUUUCCCCAUGGAGUUAACUAAUAAUGAUAUAACCAUUCGUCAUUCAAUGCUUGUAGGCAAAGACCAUACUAUUCAUUUUCUAGAAAAAAAUAAAUAUAAGCAAAGUAGCUAAGGAAGCAAGAGAAGAAUCUAUUUACAGAGUUUUGUCUCUCCUGUAAUUAUAACAUGCACUAAAUAUUUAAAGAAGGCAGGGUUCAAAACAGCAAUUCAUAUAUAGCUGUUGUUCCUUCCCAAGAGAGAAUAAAGAAAAAGUGAAAAUGUCAACUGUAACAAGAAAAGUUAUCCUAGGAGCUCCUGUUGUGGCUCAGUGGGUUAAGAACCUCACUAGUAUCCAUGGGGAUGCAGGUUUGAUCCAUGGCCUCGCUCAAUGGGUUAAGGAUCCGGCGUUGUUGCAAGCCACAGUGUUUGUUGUAGACACAGCUCAGAUCCUGCAUGGCUGUGAUAGGCUGGCAGGAGAAGCUCUAAUUUGACCCCUUUCCUGAGAACCUCCAUAUGCCAAGGGUGCAGCCCUAGAAAGAAAAAAGAAAAAAAAAAGUUGUCCUAGAGAUGAAAGACUCAAAGGAAAGGAUAUAAAAGGAGAAUGGAAAGUAUAUAUUAAAAGGUUUUAGCUACAAGUAUUAAAUAACCAACAUUAGAUAAGUUUUGAAGAAAGCUAAAAAAAUAAUUCUGGUGGUCCGUAGAAGUAUUUUCUUCAUAGAAAAUACAGAGAGUUAAAGACAAAAAAAA